rnacentral:rRNA from 1 species
UACGGAGGGGGCUAGCGUUGUUCGGAAUUACUGGGCGUAAAGCGCACGUAGGCGGCUUUGUAAGUCAGUGGUGAAAGCCCGGAGCUCAACUCCGGAACUGCCAUUGAAACUGUUUAGCUUGAGGAUGAGAGAGGUGAGUGGAAUUCCCAGUGUAGAGGUGAAAUUCGUAGAUAUUGGGAAGAACACCGGUGGCGAAGGCGGCUCACUGGCUCAUUACUGACGCUCAGGCGCGAUAGCGUGGGGAUCAAACAGG